GACGAACGCUGGCGGCGUGCUUAACACAUGCAAGUCGAACGGAAAGGCCCUGCUUUUGUGGGGUGCUCGAGUGGCGAACGGGUGAGUAACACGUGAGUAACCUGCCCUUGACUUUGGGAUAACUUCAGGAAACUGGGGCUAAUACCGGAUAGGAGCUCCUGCUGCAUGGUGGGGGUUGGAAAGUUUCGGCGGUUGGGGAUGGACUCGCGGCUUAUCAGCUUGUUGGUGGGGUAGUGGCUUACCAAGGCUUUGACGGGUAGCCGGCCUGAGAGGGUGACCGGCAACAUUGGGACUGAGAUACGGCCCAGACUCCUACGGGAGGCAGCAGUGGGGAAUAUUGCACAAGGGGCGGAAGCCGGAUGCAGCAACGCCGCGGGCGGGAGGACGGCCUUCGGGUUGGAAACGGCUUUCGCCUGUGACGAAGCGUGAGUGACGGUAAUGGGUAAAGAAACACCGGCUAACUACGU
rnacentral:rRNA from 1 species